UACAGAGGGGCAAGCGUUGUCCGGAAUCACUGGGCGUAAAGGGCGCGUAGGCGGCCGUUCAAGUCGGGGGUGAAAGCCUGUGGCUCAACCACAGAAUGGCCCUCGAUACUGGAUGGCUCGAGACCGGAAGAGGUUGGUGGAACUGCGAGUGUAGAGGUGAAAUUCGUAGAUAUUCGCAAGAACACCAGUGGCGAAGGCGGCCAACUGGUCCGGUUCUGACGCUGAGGCGCGAAAGCGUGGGGAGCAAACAGG
rnacentral:rRNA from 1 species